CAAAACAUUACUUUUGUUCUCUUCUCUAUUGUUUUCACCCACACGCCUGUUCCUUCUAACACUUCCUGGACGCAAGCUCAGGCCAUUAACCGAUAUCUCUGUACUCCAUUUUCUCUACACAACCUUUUCAUCUUCAUCUUUAACCAUGUUGCAGCUCCAACAUCCACAUGGAGUUUUGUCACCAAAGACACUUAAGGUUUUCUCUUUGCGGUACAUAAGAUUUUGGUAGAGUGAUUAUGGCAUAGUGAAGGUGUGAAACAAAGUGGAGGGAUAAUAAUUACACAAAUAUGAGAUGAUGAUUAUGAACUAUUGUUGAGAUAUUAUGUGUUGAAUGGUUGCUUACACACCAUGUUGUGGGAAAAAUCAA